rnacentral:rRNA from 1 species
CCUACGGGAGGCAGCAGUGGGGAAUAUUGCACAAUGGGGGAAACCCUGAUGCAGCGACGCCGCGUGAGCGAUGAAUUCUUUCUGUGUGUAAAGCUCUAUCUGCAGGGAAGAAAAUUACGGUACCUGACUAAUAAUCCACGUCCAACUACGUUCCAGCAGCCGCGGUAAUACGGAGGGGGCAAGGGUUAUCCGGAUUUACUGGGUGUAAAGGGAGCGUAGACGGCUUGGCAAGCCAGUUGUGAAAGGCUGGGGCUCAACCCCAGGAUUGCAGUUGGAACUGUCAGGCUAGAGUGUAGGAGAGGCAGGCGGAAUUCCUAGUGUAGCGGUGAAAUGCGUAGAUAUUAGGAGGAACACCAGUGGCGAAGGCGGCCUGCUGGACGAUGACUGACGUUGAGGCUCGAAAGCGUGGGGAGCAAACAGGAUUAGAUACCCGAGUAGUC